rnacentral:rRNA from 1 species
UACGGAGGGUGCGAGCGUUAAUCGGAAUUACUGGGCGUAAAGCGCGCGUAGGCGGCUUUGUAAGCCGGCUGUGAAAUCCCCGGGCUUAACCUGGGAACUGCAUUCGGGACUGCAUUGCUAGAGUAUGGGAGAGGGAAGUGGAAUUUCAGGUGUAGCGGUGAAAUGCGUAGAUAUCUGAAGGAACAUCAGUGGCGAAAGCGACUUCCUGGACCAAUACUGACGCUCAUGUGCGAAAGCGUGGGGAGCAAACAGG